UUGAAGAAAAAUCAGUGCAGCUUUGGCGAGAAAGCGACCCCUGAAGAUCAUUCCUCAUCGAAGAACCCAUCGGCAGCCCUUCCCGUCGGUGUUACCCCCACCUCUGCAUCGUCUUCUCUAAAUGACCCCUUAUGGAAAGACCUCCCUUUAUAGGAGUGGAGACUCUUGGGACAGAUUUUAUUUUAGCCAAAAAUCUAUCCAAAAUGAUAGAUUUUUUAACCCAAAAUCUGUCCAAAACCAGAACUAUGUCCAUUGAAAAGUUUGUCUUACCAACUGUGAGCACGUGAUUUUUAUCCUAUAUGAAUUCCUCCUAUAAAUACAAGAAAAAUACUUUUUCUCAUUUUUACAAUUUUGUAGGAUUUUGUGAUAAUUUGUAUGCAUGUGUAUUUAACUCACGAAAUGUACAAAAAUAUCUUGCAUAGCAUUUAGGGUUUAUCUUUACAUUUCAGGUUAAUUAAUAAAUUAGUUAUUUUAUAAAAAAUGGAAAAAUAAAAAUUAAAAAAAAUGGCUCAUUUUUACAUUUUAGCCUUUUUAUAUUAUUAGUAAUUUCUUUUUUCUUAAUUUAGAGGUAAUUGACUUUCAUGAAUUUCUUAGUAGGUAAUUAACUUAAUUUUACAUCUUAGUUUAAUUUAAGUUUUUUUAUUUAAUCAAAAUGAGGAAAAGAAAUCUUGGAUAUUUGAUCUUGAAAUAAAAGGCUAGAAUUGGGCCAAAAUCAUAUUAAAAUUCCAGCCCAAUGCAAUUUCUCUUUUAAACCCAACCCAAAUCAACCUCUACCCAACCCCAAACCGGGCCGACCCGACCCGACCCAAUACCCAAACCCAUUUCACAACCUAAAAAACCUAGACCUAAGAUACACACAGCAAGAUACACGCUGAUACAAUUGAGGAAAAAUCAGUGCAGCUUUGGCGAGAAAGCGACCCCUGAAGAUCAUUCCUCAUCGAAGAACCCAUUGGCAGCCCUUCCCGUCGGCGUUACCCCCACCUCUGCAUCGUCUUCUCUAAAUGACCCCUUAUGGAAAGACCUCCCUUUAUAGGAGAGGAGACUCUUGGGAUAGUUUUAUUUUAGCCAAAAAUCUAUCCAAAAUGAUCGAUUUUUUAACCCAAAAUCUGUCCAAAACCAGAACUAUGUCCAUUGAACAGUUUGUCUUACCAACUGUGAGCACGUGAUUUUUGCCCUAUAUGAAUUCCUGCUAUAAAUACAAGAAAAAUAAUUUUUCUCAUUUUUACAAUUUUGUAGGAUUUUGUGAUAAUUUGUAUGCUUGUGUAUUUAACUCACGAAAUGUACAAAAAUAUCUUGCAUAACAUUUAGGGUUUAUCUUUACAUUUCAGGUUAAUUAAUAAAUUAGUUGUUUUAUAAAAAAUGGAAAAAUAAAAAUUAAAAAAAAUUGCUCAUUUUUACAUUUUAGCCUUUUUAUAUUAUUAGUAAUUUCUUUUUUCUUAAUUUAGAGGUAAUUGACUUUCAUGAAUUUCUUAGUAGGUAAUUAACUUAAUUUUACAUCUUAGUUUAAUUUAAGUUUUUUUAUUAAUCAUGAAUUUCUUAGUAGGUAAUUAACUUAAUUUUACAUCUUAGUUUAAUUUAAGUUUUUUUAUUUAAUCAAAAUGAGGAAAAGAAAUCUUGGAUAGUUGAUCUUGAAAUAAAAGGCUAGAAUUGGGCCAAAAUCAUAUUAAAAUUCCAGCCCAAUGCAAUUUCUCUUUUAAACCCAACCCAAAUCAACCUCUACCCAACCCCAAACCGGGCCGACCCGACCCGACCCAAUACCCAAACCCAUUUCACAACCUAAAAAACCUAGACCUAAGAUACACACAACAAGAUACACGCUAAUACAAUUGAAGAAAAAUCAGUGCAGCUUUGGCGAGAAAGCGACCCCUGAAGAUCAUUCCUCAUCGAAGAACCCAUCGGCAGCCCUAAUACAAUUGAAGAAAAAUCAGUGCAGCUUCGGCGAGAAAGCGACCCCUGAAGAUCAUACCUCAUCGAAGAACCAAUCAGCAGCCCUUCCCAUCGGCGUUACCCCCACCUCUGCAUCGUCUUCUCUAAAUGACCCCUUAUGGAAAGACCUCCCUUUAUAGGAGUGGAGACUCUUGGGACAGAUUUUAUUUUAGCCAAAAAUCUAUCCAAAAUGAUAGAUUUUUUAACCCAAAAUCUGUCCAAAACCAGAACUAUGUCCAUUGAAAAGUUUGUCUUACCAACUGUGAGCACGUGAUUUUUAUCCUAUAUGAAUUCCUCCUAUAAAUACAAGAAAAAUACUUUUUCUCAUUUUUACAAUUUUGUAGGAUUUUGUGAUAAUUUGUAUGCAUGUGUAUUUAACUCACGAAAUGUACAAAAAUAUCUUGCAUAGCAUUUAGGGUUUAUCUUUACAUUUCAGGUUAAUUAAUAAAUUAGUUAUUUUAUAAAAAAUGGAAAAAUAAAAAUUAAAAAAAAUGGCUCAUUUUUACAUUUUAGCCUUUUUAUAUUAUUAGUAAUUUCUUUUUUCUUAAUUUAGAGGUAAUUGACUUUCAUGAAUUUCUUAGUAGGUAAUUAACUUAAUUUUACAUCUUAGUUUAAUUUAAGUUUUUUUAUUAAUCAAGUAGGUAAUUAACUUAAUUUUACAUCUUAGUUUAAUUUAAGUUUUUUUAUUUAAUCAAAAUGAGGAAAAGAAAUCUUGGAUAUUUGAUCUUGAAAUAAAAGGCUAGAAUUGGACCAAAAUCAUAUUAAAAUUCCAGCCCAAUGCAAUUUCUCUUUUAAACCCAACCCAAAUCAACCUCUACCCAACCCCAAACCGGGCCGACACGACCCGACCCAAUACCCAAACCCAUUUCACAACCUAAAAAACCUAGACCUAAGAUACACACAGCAAGAUACACGCUGAUACAAUUGAGGAAAAAUCAGUGCAGCUUUGGCGAGAAAGCGACCCCUGAAGAUCAUUCCUCAUCGAAGAACCCAUUGGCAGCCCUUCCCGUCGGCGUUACCCCCACCUCUGCAUCGUCUUCUCUAAAUGACCCCUUAUGGAAAGACCUCCCUUUAUAGGAGUGGAGACUCUUGGGACAGAUUUUAUUUUAGCCAAAAAUCUAUCCAAAAUGAUAGAUUUUUUAACCCAAAAUCUGUCCAAAACCAGAACUAUGUCCAUUGAAAAGUUUGUCUUACCAACUGUGAGCACGUGAUUUUUAUCCUAUAUGAAUUCCUCCUAUAAAUACAAGAAAAAUACUUUUUCUCAUUUUUACAAUUUUGUAGGAUUUUGUGAUAAUUUGUAUGCAUGUGUAUUUAACUCACGAAAUGUACAAAAAUAUCUUGCAUAGCAUUUAGGGUUUAUCUUUACAUUUCAGGUUAAUUAAUAAAUUAGUUAUUUUAUAAAAAAUGGAAAAAUAAAAAUUAAAAAAAAUGGCUCAUUUUUACAUUUUAGCCUUUUUAUAUUAUUAGUAAUUUCUUUUUUCUUAAUUUAGAGGUAAUUGACUUUCAUGAAUUUCUUAGUAGGUAAUUAACUUAAUUUUACAUCUUAGUUUAAUUUAAGUUUUUUUAUUUAAUCAAAAUGAGGAAAAGAAAUCUUGGAUAUUUGAUCUUGAAAUAAAAGGCUAGAAUUGGACCAAAAUCAUAUUAAAAUUCCAGCCCAAUGCAAUUUCUCUUUUAAACCCAACCCAAAUCAACCUCUACCCAACCCCAAACCGGGCCGACACGACCCGACCCAAUACCCAAACCCAUUUCACAACCUAAAAAACCUAGACCUAAGAUACACACAGCAAGAUACACGCUGAUACAAUUGAAGAAAAAUCAGUGCAGCUUUGGCGAGAAAGCGACCCCUGAAGAUCAUUCCUCAUCGAAGAACCCAUCGGCAGCCCUUCCCGUCGGUGUUACCCCCACCUCUGCAUCGUCUUCUCUAAAUGACCCCUGCUCUUUUUAUCGACCAUUAACAUAGACAGUAACAGAGACGACCCCCCUGAAGCUUCUUCCUCUUGACCCACCUUCUGAACCUCUUGAAAUCGCUUUAAGAAGCAAGCGUAGUAGAGAACAAAAGACCACCCUUCUAGCGCUAACUCCUCUUCGUUUAACAACUGAAAUCAGUGACCAUUUCCACCACAACUAGAUCUUGUUACACGAGAGAUCUGGCCAAUUUUGAGGUCUGGUCUUAAUUACACUGAGGUUACCGGUGAAGCUCUGGUCCUGCAGGUCGAGGAUGUCAUCUGGUCAGUGCUUUUAGGAAUUGUUGGAACUGUAAAAGUUCGAUCUUCUUUCAGAUUAUAUGUAAGUGCUUGAAUUUAUAAUUUGUUUGUUUUGGUAUUUAACUUGUUCUGAAUAGUUAUUUCAUUACUACUUAUUCUUCGAUUUUGUUUUGCUCUACUAUUUUGUUUGAAUACUUGGUUUGGUAUCAUUUCAUGUGAGAUUGCGCUUAAUUCCUCCACGAAGGUAUGAUAUUAUAAAAUGGUAUAUGCUUCAGUAGAUGAAGUUUGAGACACUGAGUAAAGACAAAAUUUGAAUGUCUCUGUUGUCUUAUUUGUGCCUGUGAUGAGCAGCAAUACUGGAAGGGACUCACAUAUUGGUAAAUCCCACAUAAUGAAUUCGAUUACGCUCCACUACUGUCAUGAAUAAUUCUCCAGAUGCUUGGAUCAUAUGCAGUUCAAACAUAUUGUUGUGAAAGCUGCUAAUGUGGUCUUUAUGAAUAUAUAUUGAGUAUUUGAGUUUUAUGUUUUAUUUAGUUAUCAUUUCUCGUUAUUUCCUUCUUUUCAGUUGGGAAUUUGCACAAAUUGAAUUGUGUCAUUUUUUGCCUCUUAGUUGUUUAGGAAAAACUUACUCUUGGCAUGUUACUUUGUAGCUAGCUAGUGUGACAGACCAUCAAUUUUUGGUGUUAUGGGUUACUUAGCAACGUAAAUAUUGUGUUUCCUUUUACUGCUCUAUUCCUUCAUCUUGGCCUUUGAUUUUCGUUGUGAUGUGAUUGUAAAUAUCAUUACGCAUUACUGUUAAAGCGAGAAUACGAAGAGAUGGGGUAUUUGUUUUUCAUGAAAUGUGCUUGUGUUUUUUUCAUUUGGAAUGAAAAUAUUAAUUGUACUAGAUUUUGACUAUUCUGUCUCUUAAGUGCAAGCGAUAUUUCUUCAAUUCACGCCUACCGCAUAUGGGUAGGCGAACCUUUAGGCACAUAAUUAGAUCAUCACAACAACAGGUAAUGUUCCCAUGGC
rnacentral:lncRNA from 1 species